GCUCUGGUGGCCAAGUCGGUAAGGCGCCACACUAGUAAUGCGGAGAUCCUCGGUUUAAAUCCGAGUCAGAGCA